AAGACUAUAUUUUUAAGGUUAAUUUCUAUAGUUUCUGACUUGGAAAUGUGAUUGGAAAAUGUUGCGUCUCCCUAAUCGCAAUGAUGAGUUAUGAGGUACUUUUCUGAGCACGAAUCGGAUUAUAGCUAAUGCUUCAUGCAUAGGCUGUAAUUGUUGAUGAGUGUUCUCUGUCUUUGAAAGACAUUAGAAGGAAAGCAUGUGUGUC